AAUGAACGUUGGCGGCGUGGAUUUGGCAUGCAAGUCGUGCGGCAGCAGGCCCCGCAAGGGGUGCUGGCGAGCGGCGAAAGAGAUAGUAAUGUGUGGAUACCUGCCCUGGGGACGGGGAUAGCUGCUGGAAACGGCCAUUAAUACCCGAUGAUGUCUCCGGACCAAAGGUGUAAUUCCGCCCUAGGAGGGGUCCACAUCCUAUUAGCUAGUUGGUGAGGUAACGGCUCACCAAGGCCACGAUGGGUAGCGGGUGUGAGAGCACGACCCGCAUCACUGGGACUGAGACACUGCCCAGACACCUACGGGUGGCUGCAGUCGAGGAUCUUCGGCAAUGAGCGAAAGCUUGACCGAGCGACGCCGCGUGCGGGAUGAAGGCCUUCGGGUGUAAACCGCUUUCGGAGGGGAGGAAAUCUAGGGGGGAUCACCCUUCUAGUUGACCUAUCCUAGGAAGAAGGACGGGCUAAGUUCGUGCCAGCAGCCGCUGUAACAC
rnacentral:rRNA from 1 species